rnacentral:lncRNA from 1 species
ACAUAUGGUCCAUCCCAACAUGAAUGGAGUUUUCUAGGGAAUAGUCGCAACCUCGAAUUAUAAAGCUAUAGUUUUUUAUUAGAUUCAAAUAUUUUUUGUGAAAUGUAUUUAUCAUGGUAAGCCUUAGUUCGAGCCUUAUAAAUUGGCAAACUCUCAUAUACUUCAUUGCGUAGCUCUUCUAAUUUAUUCAAUUAUAGUCGACUAUUACUAUCCAUAUUUUUCAUGUCAAAAUUGAAUUGCUUUAUAGCCCAAAAUGCGUGGUGUUCUAGCUCUACGGA